CUGGGACUCAGCACUGGAGAAUUUGUUUUCAUCAUUUUGCAGCAGUUGGAGGACCGUUUUUGGAAGGAAGUACUGACAAAUCAGAAAAUGAUGCACCUCCAAAAGGUGUAUGGGUCACUGCUUCUCAUUGCCCUCAGCUCCUACAGAAAAGGCCGUGGAGACGAAGGCUUUUGGAAACAAGUCUACCAAACACCGAGGAGGUCGCCCUUCCGCAGCACCAUCUCCUGGGAGGAGCAGGUG
rnacentral:lncRNA from 1 species